UGCCGGCGUGCUUACCAUGCAGUCGACGGUGAAGCCAAGCUUGCUUGGUGGAUCAGUGGCGAACGGGUGAGUAACACGUGAGCAACCUGCCCUGGACUCUGGGAUAAGCGCUGGAAACGGCGUCUAAUACUGGAUAUGAGACGUGAUCGCAUGGUCGUGUUUGGAAAGAUUUUUCGGUCUGGGAUGGGCUCGCGGCCUAUCAGCUUGUUGGUGAGGUAAUGGCUCACCAAGGCGUCGACGGGUAGCCGGCCUGAGAGGGUGACCGGCCACACUGGGACUGAGACACGGCCCAGACUCCUACGGGAGGCAGCAGUGGGGAAUAUUGCACAAUGGGCGGAAGCCUGAUGCAGCAACGCCGCGUGAGGGAUGACGGCCUUCGGGUUGUAAACCUCUUUUAGCAGGGAAGAAGCGAAAGUGACGGUACCUGCAGAAAAAGCGCCGGCUAACUACGUGCCAGCAGCCGCGGUAAUACGUAGGGCGCAAGCGUUAUCCGGAAUUAUUGGGCGUAAAGA
rnacentral:rRNA from 1 species